AGUGCGGUCGCAAGAUGAGAACUCAUACGAAUUGACGGGGGCCCGGACAAGCGGCGGAGUAUGUGUUCUAGUUGGACGCAAGGUGCAGAACUUUACGUGGUCUCGACAUCACGAGAAUGUGUUGGAAACAAGAGAGUGCCUGUUGGAGGAAUUUGGUGACUUUUUUUGCAUGGCGGUCGUCACUUCGUGUCGUGAGAUGUUGGGUUAAGUCCCGCGACGAGGGCAACCCUUGUCCUUAGUUGCCAUCAUUAAGCUGGACAUUCUAAAGAGACUGCCGGUGUCAAACCGGAAGAAGGUGGGGAAGACGUCAAGUCCUCAUGGCCUUUAUGAUCAGGGCUACACACGUAUUACAAUGGCCGGUACAAAGGGCAGCCACAGGGCAACCUGGAGCGAAUCCCGUCAACCCGGUCUCAGUCCGGAUUGGAGUCUGCAACUCGACUCCAUGAAGUUGGAAUCGUAGUAAUAGUGGAUCAUCAUGCCACGGUGAAAACGUUCCCGGCCAUUGCACACGCCUCCC
rnacentral:rRNA from 1 species